AACCAUCGGCCGGGAAUCGAACCCGGGCGCCCGCGUGGCAGGCGAGCAUUCUACCACUGAACCAAAGGCAAACGGU
rnacentral:tRNA from 1 species